ensembl:lncRNA
GUUUACUUACUGUGUAUGUCAACCAGUUCCCCACUGUAAUGUUGUCUCAUUACUUAUGUUCUUUUCACAAAGCAAGUGGUAGGUUAUCACUUCAUUACAUGGUGCUUGAUUCUGGAACAAGAGGAAUUAGCCUUAAACAUCAUCCCAGAGAGUCCCUGAUGACCUGGCUUUCUCAUUGUGGCUUCAGUGCAAUAGAAGAAUGUACUCUCUUGUGAAUCACUGGCCAUGGGACCUCACUCCUUAGAGACAUCUGUCCACUGAGACCUCACUUUACUGUUGCAGUGACUAAGUAGGAAAUAGGAACCUCAAGUACCAUAGGAGCAGUCUUUCUCCCUCCAUAAUCUGAUGGUCAAGAUCCUUAGUCUCACUGAAGGUACUUGCCACGGUGUGAAACCUUCAUCAGAUAUAAAUGAAUCAGAAUUUGUUUAGCUGAACAAAAGAUUCUAAUGUUGAGCAACUGAGCAUCUCAAGAUUAAAUUAUAAUAUUGCUCCAGCCUGCUUUUUUCUCUAUUAUGGUUCUGAGUGCUUCAUUACUUUAUUAAUUUCUCCUGCAAAGAAGAAAGUGUGUAUUUGCUUUGUGCUACGUUAAGAUGAAUCUUAUUACAUACUUCUUGUCUUUGUCAACUACAGCAUACCUGAGUGGGGAAAGAGAAACCCCAUGGUAAUAAUCUCUGGCAUGGUAAGUAACAGGUGCACCAUGCAGAUAGCUGGAAUUCUUUAAGCAAAAUCUAUAUUUUAACAAGAUACAUUUCUCUGGUUGCAGACACAUUGUAAUGAUUUUUUUU